CUCAUUCUUAAUUGCUUAACAGGGCAAUUAUCGAGUGAUCCAUCCCGUUUCCUUCAGUCCCAGCUACUGGCAGUCAGAGGGUUAGGGACACCAAGAGCAUGGGGUUGCGUCCCUGACCAACUUGGCUAAUAGCUAUUGAUGGACCCAUCUUCCAUGAACUUACCUAAAUCUUUUUUGAACCCAAUUAUGCGUGUGGCCC